AACGAACGCUGGCGGUAGGCUUAACACAUGCAAGUCGAGCGCCCCGCAAGGGGAGCGGCAGACGGGUGAGUAACGCGUGGGAAUCUACCCAUCUCUACGGAAUAACGCAUGGAAACGUGUGCUAAUACCGUAUACGUCCUUCGGGAGAAAGAUUUAUCGGAGAUGGAUGAGCCCGCGUUGGAUUAGUUAGUUGGUGGGGUAAAGGCCUACCAAGGCGACGAUCCAUAGCUGGUCUGAGAGGAUGAUCAGCCACACUGGGACUGAGACACGGCCCAGACUCCUACGGGAGGCAGCAGUGGGGAAUAUUGGACAAUGGGCGCAAGCCUGAUCCAGCCAUGCCGCGUGAGUGAUGAAGGCCCUAGGGUUGUAAAGCUCUUUCACCGGUGAAGAUAAUGACGGUAACCGGAGAAGAAGCCCCGGCUAACUUCGUGCCAGCCGCCGCCGUAAAAC
rnacentral:rRNA from 1 species